GUGAGCUGUGGUGUCGGUCGCAAAUGUGGCUGGGAUCAGGCGUUGCCGUGGCUAUUGCAAAGGCUGGCAGCUACAACUCCAAAUCAACCCCUAUCCUGGGAACUUCCAUGUGCUGCAGGGGCAGACCUAGAAAGACCAAAAAAAAAAAAAAAAUCUAGUUGAAGUAUUGAUAUUGUGCCAGAGGAACCUUUUUAUGUCUCAUUCUUUUUUUUUUUUUUUUUUUUUUUUUUUUGUCUUUUGUCUUUCCUGGGAACCUCCAUAUGCUGCAGGUGCAGCCCUAGAAAAUACAAAAAAAAAAAAAAAAGAAAAAAAAAAAAAAAAAAAAAGACAAAAAUAAAAACAAAAUAAAAUACGGUGUAUUAAAGGAUGAGUAGGGAGUUCUGUGGCGGCUCAACGGGUUAAAGAUCCUGCGUUGUCACUGCUGUGGCUCAGGUCACUGCUGUGGUGUGAGUUUAAUCCCUAGCCUGGGAACUUCUGCCUGUGUGGUGUGGGAAAAAGAUAAAGAUAGUAGAUAUAUGAUAAAAUAUAGGAAAUUUAAUUGUACAAUCUAAGUUAGAACUAUAAAAAUUCAUUCAGCUUUGGUAUAUGUUUGAAAUUUUCAUUAUUAAAUGUUGUGGGGGAAACCAAAUAACUUCAGGUUUCUGGCAGGGCCAAAUAGCAAUCAAUUCUUUCACAAAGAAAAAGUAUAAGCUCUGGGGCGGAGCUUCUGCCACUUACUGAGAGUGACCAAAAGCAGGCAGAAACUGGAGGGGAGUCAAUAACUGAAAGAGGAGUUCCCAUCGUGGCAUAGCAGAAGCAAAUCCAACUAGGAACCAUGAGGUUGCAGGUUCGAUCCCUGGCCUCGCUCAGUGGGUUAAAGAUCCGGCAUUGCCAUGAGCUGGGGUGUAGCUCACAGACGGGGCUCGGAUCUGGCGUUGCUGUGGCUCUGGCACAGGCUGGCAGCUACAGCUCUGAUUCCACCCCUAGCCUGGGAACCUCCAUAUGCCCCGGGUGUGGCCCUAAAAAUACAAAAAGACAACAAACAAACGAACAAAAUGGAAAGAAAGGCACUUCAGUGCGUGAUUUUCCUAAAUUUGCACCCCUUUCGGCCUGAGGUCGGGUCUUUGUCCUGCACCACGCAAGGCAGGUAAACCUCCAGUGCUGUCUUCUUGGCUUAGAGAUCAGCGUACAGGGUUUGGAGCAACCACAGCCUCUGAGAGUAAAGAGGGAAAUAGCAGAAGAGAGCCAGACAGAAGAUGCCCACAUUGCAUGUGUAAACUCUGCUCACAUCUCCGGCUGACCCCUGAACUAUGCGUGCACAGC
rnacentral:lncRNA from 1 species